UCUGAGCUGGUCAGGCUUACACAGGCUUUGUACAGGGGCCAAAGAGGGACUGGACAGCCUAUUUCUUUGGGGCUGGUGGCUCCAACUCCAAAUUAGGGGUGCAGUGAAUGUCUUUCCAAGAAGCACACAGCAGGCUGGGCAAGCUGGUGAACUCUGGGAGCUAAAGAGAUGAAGACAAUUCAGGUUUGCGCUCAGCCCAGAGUCUCACCAUUUUAAGAUAAGAGGUUCAGGUCUGUGGAGCAACAUGAAGGCUGUUUCCAAAGGAUGGCAUCAUAUGAUUGCUGGAGCCUCCAACUCACUACAUAGUUAAAAAUGACCUUCAGCUUCUAAGCCUCCUGGCUCCGCCUUUGUUGGGAUUACAGGCAAGUGCUGCCAUGUCUGGUUUCAUGUGGUGCUGGGGAUUUGAACCAGAGCUUCAUGCACGUUAGUCAAGUGCUUUACCAACUCACCUAUAUUCUUGCCUCCUCUUUCUUUUUCUCUAUUUCUUUAUUGCUUCUUCUUCUUUUUUUUUUUAAGUGAGUCUUUAAUUAAAGAGUGUAUUCUACAAUGAAUUGUAAUGUUUCAGUAUCCAAUGCUACUUUGUUUUUUCUUUGAAACCAGACUUUGUAGUCCAGUGGUGCAGACUGGUGUCAGAUGCCCUAUCUUCCCCCUUAUUCUCCCGAGUGCAGAGAUUAUGGUCAUGAGUGACCACACCUAGUCAUUAUGGAAUAGUGUUCAAGAAGAUAGCCUGAAACACUGAAAACUUUAAAAAUAGGCUAAAUUGAAAAUGAGGGGCAUGGGGAGCUAAGCCUGUUGGGGCAGUGAAAGCCCCUAAAGUCAGAGCAGGAACAUCAGGAGUUCAAGGCCAUCUUCAGCUACAAAGUGAGUUCAAGGCUAGCCUGAGAUAUUUGAAAUACUAUCUCAAAAAAAGUAAAGAAACUAAUGAACAGUCAAUAAUCACGGGAAAUCUAAAUAAAUCACAAUAUACCCUUACAACAGGAUGCCGUCAACAGCUACGGAAGGCCAUGCUGGAGAGGGUAUACAUAAAUUCCAGGAGAUGACAGAGAAAAGGACCCUGGAGCUAUAGCCAUCCAAACCCAUUUUAUCAGGCCUAUUGUUACAGGGGACAGAGAACUAGAAGCCAAACUGGACUUAGUCCUGACUACAGUAGAGAGAAGUGUGGUUUGUAACCUAGGAACCAGAGUGGGAAGCAGCAGAGGGAAAUGGGCAGGAUUCUGUCUAAUAACACUUGCCUGGGGACUGGGGAGAUAAUUCAGUGGGCAAAGUGCAUCAGAACCUGAGCUUAAGUCCUUUGACCAAAUGAUUGCAGUCACAGGAGUCUGUGAAUAGAGUGCUCCUCUGACGAGACAGAGACUCCCUGGAUGCUUUGAGGACAGCCAGGUUGGCCUGUGCAGAAGAACAACAAAGAUAUCCUGUCUCAAACCAGGUGGGAGAUGAGGACUGACAUCCGAGGCCGAAGCAUAUGUGCGUCAUCCUCCAUCAGAGACACAGACACAUAUACUUCACCCUCCUCAUACACUUGACUGGGUUCCUGCUGAAGUUGGCCAUGGCAGUUGAAUAUCAAAAAUGCUCUAGUACUUUGAUUAACGAUGAAGACUCCGGGCUUCUUUCUGAGCUGACUUAGACAGAUUCUUGGUGGAGAUGGGCCAUAUAGACCCAGCAAGGAGUGAGGCCAAGGUCAAGGUUUCUGGAUUUACAGUAUCUUGACUAAAGGGCGAUGAAGGAGGGUGUCCUCGUCAAAACCUUCAUGUGUUGUUUCUACAACGCCAAAGCAGGACAGAUGUUGGUAGAUACAAUGUGCUCCUGAUUAUGUUAAAAUAUUUAUAGACAGACAUGUACAAACCAGGAGGGCCUUGCAUUCAUUUUUCUUUUAUAAUAAAAAAUACGCUAACUUCAUGUAUUUGAGAGGCGGAAAAUUCUUUACUCCGGUUUUUUAGGGUUACACUUAUUUAAGUUUUGUUGAAAAACUGCAUCCCUUAAAGCAAAAAUUAAUAGUCAUUAUAGACCACUACUUGAAGAAGGGUCAUUAGCUCUUGCCCCGUGUGUGUGUAUGUGUGUGUGCGUGUGUGCAUGUGUGUGUGUGUGUGUGUGUGUGUGUGUGUAUAAAGGGAGUGGUGGUGGUAAGCUUUGGCAAAGGGGAUGUUGAAACAUGAAACAACUGUGCCAUUCCUCAUAAUAACCAUGGCACGAACACAGUCCAGUUGCCUGGUCUCAAAUAGAAAUAAUUGGGCAUCUCACUCUGUGAUCCAGCUUAUAUAGCAACUGCCAUUUGCUUGUAGAGAGAAUUCCUCAUCCUGAGCACAGGGUGGUGUGGGGGGUGUUAUAUAAUACAUAUUUAUGUGACCAUUGAGGGUAGAAACAGGGUAAAGUUAGCUAUGACUCUCAACUGUCCCCAUGAGCAGGGGCAUCCCAAGACGCAUACAAUGAACCAUUAUUUUAGCCUUUUAGGAAAGAAUUUGGAAGGAAAUAAUCCUUAUAGAGCUAUUAAUACAACCUUCAAGAGACGGUAUGGACGGGUAGCAAAAAAAUCUCAAGUGAAGUUAGUAGGGUUGGGCUACACUCCUAAGUUGGCAGUUUCCAACCUUUUUGUAUUGGUAGCAUCCUGCUGAAGUCUUGCUGAAUCCUGAUAUGACUCAAACAUUUAAGACAGUGCUUAGUGGCUCAGGAUCCUCAGGGUCUUUAUAAAGCACUGCAUCUUAUGGUCUAGUAUAUGGAUUUUCAACCUGUGGGUCAGGACCCUUUGGAGGGGGUUGAAAGACCCUUUUGCAGGGGUUCCCUAAGAUAAUCAGAAAACACAGAUAUUUACAUUAUGAUUCAUCACAGUAGAAAAUUGAAGUAAUAACAGAAUAAUUUCAUGGUUAGGGUUCACCACAACAUGAGGAACUGUAUUAAAGGGGCAAAGCAUCAGGAAGGUUGAGAACCACUGGUCUGGUAGGUAAGAAAGCAUUCACUUAUCCCAUGACUCCCUGGGGGGGACCUUUCAGUGUUCUGACUUUUAUUAAUAGAACUGCUAAUUACUCUGACCUCCAGGUCAGGCUCCUAUGGUCUACUGAACAUGUCCUCUUUGGAACUCAUCUCUGUCCUCUUACCUAUGUCAGAAGGAAUCUAUUCUAAGCUGAGUUGCAUAAUGUAACCAUUCAAGGAGUCAUGUGACUGCCACCGUUCCCUUUAGUUGGAACAGAAUUUGAGAGCACACCUUUAGAUUGAAGACUGUCUCAGGAUGCUUGGGGUUGGGGGUAGGGUGUCGGGUGGACAUAAGUCUCCAGUCUGUGCUGAUAGUGAGGUUGGUGGUCCUUGCCAGUGUCUGCUCAUGAAACUUGUGGCACGGGGCUGUCUGCUGAGGUGACACUUUUUGUUUCUGCAGAACAAACGUUCAUUAAAUGAUUGAGGUAUUCAUGGUGGUCUCAUGGGUCUUUAUUCUGUAGUCCUGGCUGGUCUGGAGCUCACUCUGUAGUCCAGGAUGGCCUUGAACAUAAGGCAAUCUUCCUGUCUCAGACUUUCAAGAGCUUGUACUGCAGCCAAAAGUUGCAGUCAUAAGUUCCCGAAACAGGGGAGCUACACAGCAGGAGGAUUGCUUCAAGGGCAGCUUGGACUACACAGCUUGAACCUGUCUCAACAUCUCCUAGAAGCCUCCCCACCUCCAGUUCCCCCCUAUAGUCUUGUCUUUCUAUCCUGCUUCAAGGGCAGUUAGCGAGAGGAAGGACUUUCUCCUCAGUGGUUCCUGCCCAGCACAGCGCAUUGUCAUCUUCUACCUGCAGAUCAGCUCCAGAAGUAAAAAUGCAGCUGUCACAAAUGUCCUUUAUAGUUCUUCCCCAGUGCUCCUCUGCCUUUGUCUCUGAGUGGUGGAUAUAAGAGAUGUUUUGAACUCUUGAAGAAUGCCUCAUGGACGCACAAAGGUUACUCCCCUGAGGCCAACACCAUCUUCCAGUGCCUGUCUUGGCUCCCUGCCACAGUGCCUCAGACUUUACAAAUGUUUAAGGGGCAACUAUGUUCUCCCUGGCUCCCAGCAGGGACUUCCAUAGGAAGGCCUGACUGCUCUGCAGGUUAGAGGGCUCUGAGAAAAAUCCUUUAAGAGGGUGUUUAGAGUUUUUUUCAGAGAGCUGUGGGUCUGGGGAUUAGGACUCCUCACCAUGGGAGCCUUUGGUAUGGAGACCCUCAGUAGAUGUGGACAGGAGCACAAGUUGGGUGAGUAAGGAGAAUGUCACAGACUGAUGCACACACGUCCAUCCCUAAAUGAUGAGUUCUGCUUGGUGCCAAGGCUUCAUCUCAAGAGUCCUGCCUGCUUGUCUGGCUGCAAAGAGUUCAACUGAACUAUCCUCAUCACCAGCCUGCUUUAGACACCAGCUGCAUUCAUCCGUCAGGAUAAAGGAGGCCAAGGUCUAGCCUUGGGCUUACAGGUCUCCCACCAGUAGCUACAUGCCAUCAGUAGGCUUUUCCUAUUUCCUUCCAUCUUGGACCUGUGGUCUCUCCCUACCCUCCUUAUCCCAGAUGAUGAAGGUUUUUGCUCAGUGACUGGCACUACUGUUUGUACAGGAAUUUCCCCCCGAACCAGGCUUAUUAUUGCUAUUGUUCUUGUUGCUGUUGAGACAGACUUUCGCUGCAUAAACACAGAUGGUCCCUUAAGCACUGAGACUGCAAGCGUGUGCCACUGAACCCAGCAAAGGAAAGUGUUCACCUAUGGCAUGGGUCUGGCUUCCUCAGUCUAGAGUAUCUCUAAGCAAGCACUUUCUUUUUUUAUUUCUGCAGUUCUAUGGAUGGAACCCCAGGCCUAGUGCAUGGUGCACAGCCAUGUUGCCACUGAGUCACAUCCCCAGUCCUCAGGGCACAAAGAUAAUGGGGUGGAGCAUGAAGGGCCGUGGUUAUAAGGUCUGUGGCAUCAGAAUCACCUCUAUCUCAGGGUCCUUGGAUGCUUCUGGAUAAUCUGUGAAGUAUCUGUUAAUUUCUUUAGAAGACUUGGGGAAAAAAUUCCAAGACUAUCUAGAGAAAUAAGGACAAUUUAACUUUAUCCUCAGUGCCAAGAAAAAGAUAUGCCAAGUGAGGAUGAGCCUACAGACAGCCAUGGGCACUCCCUGCCUAGCCUUAAGCUCUCAGAGGGUGCCCCAGUACUGUGUCUGGACGGUGGCUUUAGUUCUUGCCCAAUGUGCUUCUGGAAAACACUGCCGGUGAUAACACCUUUAGAGUCAUGGAGAGUUUUAGAUGGCACCGCAAAGAUGCUCAGUUAGGAUAGGGGAGUCUAAAAAUAGUUCCCAGAGAGGGCUCCUGAGGCCAUCUCCCGUUUUUCCUGUCUGUGUUGGACAGAGCAGCUGAGUACAGUCAUCCUCAUGGAACAGGAGCGAAGAUGCUGUGUGGUGACCUGGGAAAGGGUCCAGAGACUGGACCUAGAGGUGAUGCAAUGGCUGAAAGAUAGAGCUGGAGGCCAGGUCAAUCGAAGGGAUGAAGUGCCCCAUGGGGAGCAGGGGUGAGGGGGCGCAGUGCCCCAUGGGGAGCAGGGGUGAGGGGGCGCAGUGCCCCAUGGGGAGCAGGGUGAGGGAAAAGCCAGCAAUGGUAAUGGCAUGAAAGCACCUUCUGUGGCUGUUCUCUCACCCUGGAGAGGAUAAAGAGUGAAGGCUGCACUUUGGCUGUGCUCUUGGGACCAGACCAUGACUUCCCGCGUGCCAACCUCCCAGAAUGGACAGCUAGGCUUCAGAUGGUCGGUUGGGACCUUGGCCCUAUGUGGGUUUGAGGGAGGAAGAUUGACAGCCACUGCUGCGAGCAGAUCACAAAGCCCUCAGAACCCGGAAGAAUGACUCAUGAGACAGCUGGCUCUGGGGACAGUUCAUAGCAGGUGGAGGCCUGCUUAGGUUCCAUCAAUCACCCACUGUUAUACCGGGUCAUGAAAGAAGGGACGAGGCAGGCUGGGUGGGUAGCAAAGGCCUUCUAUAGAGGAAAGGACUACUUAAUUCUAUUCAUGGACUCAGCAGCUUUGCAUGGGUAGAAUAUUCCCCUGGUUUUAGGGAUUAAUAACUAGGAAAAAACCAGGCAAAAAGAGAUUGACCUACCUUGGCAUGUUUUUUAGUGUAGAGGUUUUUGGGACUUGAACCUGAGUGUCUAUGGGGUCUAACUCCCCAUAGUUGGGAGGGAAAUGUGCAAAAUUACAGUUAGUUGGUUUUGUCUGUCAACUGUCCUCAGUGAAAGCCAGAGACCAUCCUCAGAUCGCUGUCCUGGGCAAUUUUUGUCAACUUGAUAUAAGUUAGAGUUAACUUGGGAAAAUAUCUCUGUCGGAUUGCCUGUAGGUAAGUCAGUAGGGAGUCUUCUUGAUGAAUGAUUGAUGUGAGAGGGGGCUAUGCCACCCCUGGGCAGGUAUUCUCUGGUGCUAUAAGAGAGCAGACUUAGCAAGCCUUGAGGAAUAGCCAGUGAACAGCACCCCUCUAUGGUUUCUUUUUUAGCUUGUCUCCAGAUUUCUGCCUUGAAUUCCUGCCUUGGCUUCCCUUUACGAUGGGCUGUAACCUGUAUGUCAAAUAGCCAAAUAAACUCCUCCCUCCCCAA